AGAGUUUGAUCCUGGCUCAGAUUGAACGCUGGCGGUAUGCUUAACACAUGCUWGUCGAACGGUAACGACAGAUCAAUCCUUCGGGUGCGAUUUGGGCGACGAGUGGCGAACGGGUGAGUAAUGCAUGAGAAUUUGCCGUGCAGUGCGGAAUAACCUGGGGAAACCCAGGCUAAUACCGCAUAUCUUCUACGGAAGAAAGGGGGCCUAUCCUUGGAAGCUCUCGCUGCACGAGAAGCUCAUGUCCGAUUAGCUUGUUGGUAGGGUAAUGGCCUACCAAGGCUCUGAUCGGUAGCUGGUCUGAGAGGAUGAUCAGCCACACUGGGACUGAGAUACGGCCCAGACUCCUACGGGAGGCAGCAGUGGGGAAUAUUGGACAGUGGGGGAAACCCUGAUCCAGCAAUACCGCGUGUGUGAAGAAGGCCUGCGGGUUGCAAAGCACUUUCGUCAGGGAAGAAAUGCAUCUGGUUAAUACCUGGAUGCUAUGACGUUAUCUGAAUAAGAAGCACCGGCUAAUUCCGUGCCAGCAGCCGCGGUAAUACGGAAGGUGCGAGCGUUAAUCGGAAUUACUGGGCGUAAAGCGUACGUAGGCGGUUUGAUAUGUCGGAUGUGAAAUCCUCGGGCUUAACCUGAGAACUGCAUUCGAAACUGUCAAACUAGAGUAAGUCAGAGGAAAGUGGAAUUUCGGGUGUAGCGGUGGAAUGCUUAGAGAUCCGAAGGAACCCCAAGUGCGAAGGCACUUUCUGGGCUGACUGACGCUGAGUGCGAAAGCACGGGGAGCGAACAGGAUUAGAUACCCUGGUAGUUCGUGCCGUAAACGAUGAGGACUAGUUGUCCGGAGCUUGACUCUGGGUAGCAAAGCUAACGCAUUAAGUCCUCCGCCUGGGGAGUACUGCCGCAAGGUAGAAACUUAAAUGAAUUGACGGGGACCCGCACAAGCGGUGGAGCAUGUGGUUUAAUUCGAUGCUACGCGCAGAACCUUACCAAGCCUUGACAUCCUUGGAACCUUCUAGAAAUAGAAGGGUGCCUUUGGGAGCCAAGUGACAGGUGCUGCAUGGCUGUCGUCAGCUCGUGUCGUGAGAUGUUGGGUUAAGUCCCGCGACGAGCGCAACCCCUAUCACUAUUUGCCAGCACGUAAAGGUGGGAACUCUAGUGAGACUGUCGGUAUCAAUUCGAAGGAAGGUGGGGAUGACGUCAAGUCAUCAUGGCCCUUAUGGCUUGGGCUACACACGUGCUACAAUGGCCGGUACAAUAGGAAGCUAACCCGCAAGGGGGAGCCAAUCCGAAAAAGCCGGUCGUAGUCCGGAUCGAAGUCUGCAACUCGACUUCGUGAAGUCGGAAUCGCUAGUAAUCGCGAAUCAGCAAUGUCGCGGUGAAUACGUUCCCGGGUCUUGUACACACCGCCCGUCACACCAURGGAGUUGGUUGCACCAGAAGUCGAUUGUCUAACCUUCGGGAGGAUGUCGCCACGGUGUGAUCAAUGAUUGGGGUGAAGUCGUAACAAGGUAACC
rnacentral:rRNA from 1 species